CUGAUGCAGCGAUGCCGCGUGAGUGAAGAAGGCCUUUGGGUUGUAAAGCUCUUUCGUCGGGGAAGAAAAUGACUGUACCCGAAUAAGAAGGUCCGGCUAACUUCGUGCCAGCAGCCGCGGUAAUACGAAGGGACCUAGCGUAGUUCGGAAUUACUGGGCUUAAAGAGCUCGUAGGUGGUUAGAAAAGUUGGUGGUGAAAUCCCAAGGCUUAACCUUGGAACUGCCAUCAAAACUUUUUAGCUAGAGUAUGAUAGAGGAAAGUGGAAUUUCUAGUGUAGAGGUGAAAUUCGUAGAUAUUAGAAAGAACACCGAUUGCGAAGGCAGCUUUCUGGAUCAUUACUGACACUGAGGAGCGAAAGCAUGGGUAGCGAAGAGGAUUAGAUACCCUCGUAGUCCAUGCUGUAAACGAUGUGUGCUAGACGUUGGAAAUUUAUUUUCAGUGUCGCAGCAAAAGCGUUAAGCACACCGCCUGGGGAGUACGACCGCAAGGUUAAAACUCAAAUGAAUUGACGGGGACCCGCACAAGCAGUGGAGCAUGUGGUUUAAUUCGAAGAUACGCGCAGAACCUUACCAACACUUGACAUGUCUGUCGCGAACCUAAGAGAUUAGGUUCUUCAUUUAGUUGGACAGAACACAGGUGCUGCAUGGCUGUCGUCAGCUCGUGUCGUGAGAUGUUGGGUUAAGUCCCGCAACGAGCGCAACCCUCAUUUUUAGUUGCCAUCAGGUUAUGCUGGGCACUCUAAAAAAACUGCCGGUGAUAAGCUGGAGGAAGGCGGGGAUGACGUCAAGUCCUCAUGGCCCUUACGGUCUGGGCUACACACGUGCUACAAUGGUGGUGACAGUGGGCAGCAAUACUGCAAAGUAAAGCUAAUCCCAAAAAACCAUCUCAGUUCGGAUUGGACUCUGCAACUCGAGUCCAUGAAGUUGGAAUCGCUAGUAAUCGUAGAUCAGCGUGCUACGGUGAAUACGUUCUCGGGCCUUGUACACACCGCCCGUCACGCCAUGGGAGUUGGUUUUACCUUAAGCCGGUGCGCUAACCGCAAGGAAGCAGCCGUCCACGGUAGGGUCAGCGACUGGGGCGAAGUCGUAACAAGGUAACCGUAGGGGAACCUGCGGUUG
rnacentral:rRNA from 1 species